AUUGAACGCUGGCGGCAGGCCUAACACAUGCAAGUCGAGCGAGCGGCGGACGGGUGAGUAAUGUAUGGGGACUGCCCGAUAGAGGGGGAUAACUACAGGAAACGGUGGCUAAUACCGAAUACUAUCGGAUAACCCAUAGGGGAUUGGCUAGUUGGUGGGGUAAAGGCUCACCUAGGCGACGAUCUCUAGCUGGUCUGAGAGGAUGAUCAGCCACACUGGGACUGAGACACGGCCCAGACUCAUACGGAGGCAGCAGUGGGGAAUAUUGCACAAGGGGCGCAAGCCUGAUGCAGCCAUGCCGCGUGAAGGAAGACGGUCUUCGGAUUGUAAACUGCUUUAGACAGGGACGCGGUACCUGUAGAAUAAGCCACGGCUAACUACGUGCCAGCAGCCGCGGUAAUAC
rnacentral:rRNA from 1 species